AUACGGAGGGUCCGAGCGUUAUCCGGAAUCAUUGGGUUUAAAGGGUCCGUAGGCGGGCAGCUCAGUCAGUGGUGAAAGUCUGUGGCUCAACCAUAGAAUUGCCAUUGAUACUGGUUGUCUUGAAUUAUGGUGAAGUGGUUAGAAUAAGUAGUGUAGCGGUGAAAUGCAUAGAUAUUACUUAGAAUACCGAUUGCGAAGGCAGAUCACUAACAAUAUGUUGACGCUGAGGGACGAAAGCGUGGGGAGCGAACAGGAUUAGAAACCCCAGUAGUCC
rnacentral:rRNA from 1 species